CAUUGUUUGACAAUGUUGUUUUUACCGAUGUAUGGAAAUUUGCAGUGCUGAAAGUGGUUUGUAUUUUCAACUUUUAGUAGCCAAAAUCAAUACCUUGGUUUUACCAAGUUUUAAAGAGGCCAAAUGGCUGGGCUGGUUUUAUAAGUAACAAGUGAUGCAGGGGGUGCAAAAUAUGUCACAUAAUGGCUGCUUGAUAGGUCUGUUAUUGUUAGUUAAGUAGUUAUUUAAGAGGUUAGUUAUUUGGUAAAUGGGCAGUUAGUAGCUGAGUUGAGACUUGAGAGGUAGUUAGGCCAAAUAAGAUGGAUUAGAGUUAUUGUCACCUAAUAAGGUAUUAGUUGCUGGAAUGGAGUUAAUAAUCAUUGUUUGAUUUAUGUGUUUGUUCAUCCUUAAUUUGCAGGAUCAUUGUAGUUUUUCUCACAGUACUAGAAAAGUUUUCUAAUGUAGUUAUUGGGUGGUUGCCCAUGUAUGGAGAAUUGAAGCUUGCCCUAUUCAUAUUCAUGUGGUAUCCCAAAACUAAGGCCUAGAGGCGGUCGAGGUGGAGGUCCUGCCUUGCUGAAUCGUGGCGCUGGGUAAGUUUCUGAGAUCAAUAGUGAUUAGUACUUUGUUUAUUUAUUUUAGUGAAAUCUGUAAAUUUAACUUGUUACCUAUUCACUGAACUCCUCGUUUGGUAUCCAUUUU